UACGUAGGGUGCGAGCGUUGUUCGGAAUCAUUGGGCGUAAAGCGCAUGUAGGCGGUUAGUUAAGUCUGAUGUGAAAUCCCGGGGCUCAACCCCGGAACUGCAUUGGAAACUGGCUAACUAGAGGAUGAGAGAGGAGAGUGGAAUUCCUGGUGUAGGGGUGAAAUCCGUAGAUAUCAGGAGGAACAUCGGAGGCGAAGGCGGCUCUCUGGCUCAUUUCUGACGCUGAGAUGCGAAAGCGUGGGGAGUAAACAGG
rnacentral:rRNA from 1 species